rnacentral:rRNA from 1 species
CCUACGGGUGGCAGCAGUGGGGAAUAUUGCACAAUGGGCGCAAGCCUGAUGCAGCCAUGCCGCGUGUGUGAAGAAGGCCUUCGGGUUGUAAAGCACUUUCAGCGGGGAGGCGUUACCCGCAGAAGAAGCACCGGCUAACUCCGUGCCAGCAGCCGCGGUAAUACGGAGGGUGCAAGCGUUAAUCGGAAUUACUGGGCGUAAAGCGCACGCAGGCGGUCUGUCAAGUCGGAUGUGAAAUCCCCGGGCUCAACCUGGGAACUGCAUUCGAAACUGGCAGGCUAGAGUCUUGUAGAGGGGGGUAGAAUUCCAGGUGUAGCGGUGAAAUGCGUAGAGAUCUGGAGGAAUACCGGUGGCGAAGGCGGCCCCCUGGACAAGCUGACGCUCAGGUGCGAAAGCGUGGGGAGCAAACAGGAUUAGAUACCCUUGUAGUC